ensembl:lncRNA
GUACUUCCUUCCUGUGACCGUCUCCCUCCUUUUGUUUGUCAUAAUCAGUUUCAGUAGUGUCUCUAAUUAGUUCUCUGUAUAUAUAGUCCUGCAUCUUCUGUCUUUUGUCAGUUCGUCCUGUUGGCUUCCUUCGUGUUCCAUUUCCUGUUCACCUUCCUGAGUUCUUCAUCUUCCUCUGUUAGCGACAUGUCAUCACUGUCCUGUUGCUUCCCGCCGUGGUCUCUUCUAUAGAGACUCUCUGUCGGCUCUGUCCAGGAACCUGAGGGUCCCGGGGGGCCCCAAUCGGCCCCCAGGCCUACGGUUGCAGGGCCUCAGCCUGCACAACAAACGCCACUGCAGACUCACCAGACCUGAGCUCCCAGAAUCCAUUGCUCUGGCUCACUCCAAGCCGUCGAGCAGCAUGAAGCACCUGGUCCUGGGUCACCUGAGGAGGCUGGUGACUCUGAGCCCGGCCCAGCGGCUCCGAGGCCUCCAUCUGCCGGGCUGACCUCCUGCAGGGGCAGGUGGGCUGAGAGCUGCUGGACACCAGAGGGCGCCGCAGAGGUUCACACUGAGGCUGGAGGAUAAUAUCUCCACCCUGCAUCUCCAGGAAGAGCUGCUGAAUCACUGAGCUCCACUGAGAUCAGGUUCCACGUCCGGAGGCAGGAACUCAACUGUAGAAAGAUGUUUCACCGUGCUGAAUGUAUCUCUUGCUUGCUUUCUAUGGAUACAGUUUUUGAGCCAUGCUGCAUUUAUUUAUUUGAUUGAUCCAGUUUGCUUUGUUUUCAUCUCUCUGGAAACUGAGGUUUUAAAUUCAUUCACUAGUAGUUCUGUUAUUUGGUAUGCUACUUAACCUAGUCUUAUAAGAUUAAUAACUGGUGCACUGGCUGAAAAAGUGAAUUAACUGUGUCAGUGUGGGCUUAUAAAACAGUGACUGUUGAGUAUUUUGUUAAGAAAGUGGUUAUUUUGCUUUAAAUAUCAUUAAAGUAUUAGAUAUACUUCUGCUUUGGUGUUUCAGAGGUUGAUAAAUUCUUUGUAAAUUCAGUUUAAUAUCCAAAAUAAAUCCAAAUCUGUUUCAGCCUUAAUCCCUGUAUCUUUUUUUCAUAGAUGAUAUGAUGUUUAUGUUUCAC